rnacentral:rRNA from 5 species
AAAUUGAAGAGUUUGAUCAUGGCUCAGAUUGAACGCUGGCGGCAGGCCUAACACAUGCAAGUCGAACGGUAACAGGAAGCAGCUUGCUGCUUUGCUGACGAGUGGCGGACGGGUGAGUAAUGUCUGGGAAACUGCCUGAUGGAGGGGGAUAACUACUGGAAACGGUGGCUAAUACCGCAUAACGUCGCAAGACCAAAGAGGGGGACCUUCGGGCCUCUUGCCAUCAGAUGUGCCCAGAUGGGAUUAGCUUGUUGGUGAGGUAACGGCUCA